CGAACGGGUGAGUAAUAUAUAGGUAAUAUGCCUCUUACUAAGGGAUAACAAUUGGAAACGAUUGCUAAUACCUUAUACUCCUUAUUAACCUAAGUUAAUAAGGGAAAGAUUUAUUGGUAAGAGAUUAGCCUGUAUUGUAUCAGUUAGUUGGUGGGGUAAUGGCCUACCAAGACUAUGACACAUAACUGGUUUGAGAGGAUGAUCAGUCACACUGGAACUGAGACACGGUCCAGACUCCUACGGGAGGCAGCAGUGGGGAAUAUUGCACAAUGGACGAAAGUCUGAUGCAGCAACGCCGCGUGGAGGAUGACACAUUUCGGUGCGUAAACUCCUUUUAUAUGAGAAGAUAAUGACGGUAUUAUAUGAAUAAGCACCGGCUAACUCCGUGCCAGCAGCCGCGGUAAUACGGGGGGUGCAAGCGUUACUCGGAAUCACUGGGCGUAAAGAGCAUGUAGGCGGAUUGAUAAGUUUGAAGUGAAAUCCUAUAGCUUAACUAUAGAACUGCUUUGAAAACUGUUAAUCUAGAAUGUGGGAGAGGUAGAUGGAAUUUCUGGUGUAGGGGUAAAAUCCGUAGAGAUCAGAAGGAAUACCGAUUGCGAAGGCGAUCUACUGGAACAUUAUUGACGCUGAGAUGCGAAAGCGUGGGGAGCAAACAGGAUUAGAUACCCUGGUAGUCCACGCCCUAAACGAUGUACACUAGUUGUUGUGAGACUUGAUCUUGCAGUAAUGCAGUUAACACAUUAAGUGUACCGCCUGGGGAGUACGGUCGCAAGAUUAAAACUCAAAGGAAUAGACGGGGACCCGCACGAGCGGUGGAGCAUGUGGUUUAAUUCGACGAUACACGAAGAACCUUACCUGGACUUGACAUAGUAAGAACUUUCUAGAGAUAGAUUGGUGUCUGCUUGCAGAAACUUAUAUACAGGUGCUGCACGGCUGUCGUCAGCUCGUGUCGUGAGAUGUUGGGUUAAGUCCCGCAACGA
rnacentral:rRNA from 1 species